GGGGGAGCGCACCCAUGUGGAUGUACCCACUGACAACUGGGAGUGAUGAACUGGGAGUAGGGUGCCAGAACUAGCAGCUGACAAGGAUCAAAGUGCCUGAGGAAUACAACUUUAAGGAAUACAUUUUCAGCACCAGGCAGAAAAACACACUGAAAUCUUCAGACAACGUACAUUAUGCUGUAGAGAGCAGCCUCUUCAGUGACCUCUGGUAAUAUGAUUCUGCUGGUGGAUGCUUCCGAAUCUGCUGAUGAAGCAAUUUAGAGCUGCAGAAAUGGCAAGCCAUCCCUCAUUCCCCAAACAGGAAUCUGGC